GUCCAGGGAAUGUUCCUCUCAGUGAACCGGUCCUCAUCACUGAUAAAGCAAAAAUCAUCACCAGCUUUGGCAUUGUUCAAGAUGUUUCCACGUACUGCAAACGUUGUCCGGCAUGUGACUUGUGUUAUCGAUAUCAAGAGUGGAAAGAUGGCGUGCCCAAUUUCAGUGACCACAUACUACUUGACCUGCCCUUGUGUAUCACACUGAGAAACCUACUUCAGAUAAUGUCCAUACAGCGAUCAGCAGAGUGGUAGAUUACCUCCAGUUUACCGCAGGAGUAAACUUCCCCUCGAAAGACAUGGUGCUCCAUGCAUAUCUGCACUUUGAGGCCCUCACGGACCAUCAGUACAACUGUUUGUGUGUCACCUGUGAUGAUCACCCUGCCGUGGUCAUAAUGGAUUUGCAUAGGAAGGGUGCUUUUCAUUUGUCAAUAAGUGACUUGGAAGAACCUCCAG